rnacentral:siRNA from 1 species
CCGGCGAUGCGUCCUGGUCGGA